rnacentral:rRNA from 1 species
GCGGGAAAUCUCACCAGGCCCGGACACUGGAAGGAUUGACAGAUUGAGAGCUCUUUCUCGAUUCGGUGGGUGGUGGUGCAUGGCCGUUCUUAGUUGGUGGAGUGAUUUGUCUGGUUAAUUCCGAUAACGAACGAGACUCUGUCCUGCUAAAUAGUUGUCGUGUCGUUAGUUUACACGAGAAUUUCUUCUUAGAGGGACUGGCGGCGUCUAGCCGCACGAGAUUGAGCAAUAA